rnacentral:tRNA from 1 species
UACAAAUUAGAGCUUGAUAGAAAGUGUUCCAUUUACACUGGAAUUAUAACUGUGCAAUUCAGUUUAAUUUGAU